rnacentral:rRNA from 1 species
AUUGAACGCUGGCGGCAUGCCUAACACAUGCAAGUCGAACGGAAACGAUGGAAGCUUGCUUCCAGGCGUCGAGUGGCGGACGGGUGAGUAAUACUUAGGAAUCUGCCCAUUAGUGGGGGACAACUCGGGGAAACUCGAGCUAAUACCGCAUACGCCCUACGGGGGAAAGCGGGGGAUCUUCGGACCUCGCGCUAAUGGAUGAGCCUAAGUCGGAUUAGCUUGUUGGUGAGGUAAAGGCUCACCAAGGCGACGAUCCGUAGCUGGUCUGAGAGGACGAUCAGCCACACUGGGACUGAGACACGGCCCAGACACCUACGGGUGGCAG